AUUAAUGAAUGUACUAAACAAUUAACGGAUGAUUCAUAGAAUGAAUCAACUAAAUCCACUACUCAAUUCACGUUUCAAUCAAUCAACGAAUUAUUGAAUAAAUUAAUCAAUAAUAGACUUAAUCAAUAAAUGAAUUGAUUAAUCAACCAAAGUACGAAUUAUCAACGAAUCGAGGAAUCAAUUAACAAUUCAUCAAAUCUACUAAUGAAUUAACGAAUAUUUCGCCGAAUUAAUGAACGAAUGAAGGAAAUAAUCAAGUCAUCAAUUAUCAAAUAAUUCAAGUCACAAAUCAAUCAAUCAACAAAUUAUUCAAAGUAUGAAUUAACGAUUCAAUCAACUAAUCAAUUUAAAAACGAAUUAAUCAAGGAAGCUGUAUAUUAACAACAAAUAGACGAAUAAAAUAUAGGUUCAAUUGUUCUACUGACCAAUUAUCGAAUAUUUCAUCGAAUUAAUAAAUUUUUGAAUGAGUGAAUUACUAUUAUUUAAUAGAUAUUGGAAUAAACCCACAAACUAAUUAACGAACCAAUCAACAAACCAAUCAGCGAAUCAAUCAACAAACCAAUGAACGCAUCAACGAAUAAUUCAACUAUUCAACCUGUGAACAAAUUAAUCAAUAUAUAAACAGAUCAAUCAAUGAAUCCACGAAUUAUCAACGAAUGAACGAAUAAUUCACCGAAUCAAUCAGCAAAUGAUUUAAGAACUUAAUUCACGAAUGAAUCAAUCAAGGAACUAUUUAAUUAACAAAUUAAUGAUUCAAUUAAAGAAUUUACAAAUGAAUCAGCAUACCAAUCAAUGAAUCGAUUGACAAUAAAUCAAUUAAUAAAUCUACAAAUCAUCAACGAAACUAGAAAUCAGUCGACGAGACAAUCUGAGAAUUAAUAAAUCAAUCAAUAAAGAGCUCAAUCAACGAAUCAAUCAAUAAAUCAAUACAUAGAAGCCUUUAAAUGGAGACAAUCAACUAAGCCAAGGAACCAAUUUAGGAGACGAGACCAUUUUCCUUUGAAAACUUGAAACAUUCUAAUAGUGAAAUUAUUUAUAAGGUUAACGAAAGUGCAAAGCAGAGCUCUAUGCUGAAUGGGAGGUAGGUAUCAGUUUGAGAAUUUAAGUUGGACAUUGAGAGAAAUCUCAGUUUUCGUAAUAUAUUUGAUAUAUAGAACUUAUAGUAGUAAUUGGUUCAUAGUACUUAUAAAAACAACAUAGAAAAACAUUAAUUUGCUUAAUUUCACACAUAUUAACCAUGGAAGGCUAGGUGAUUUACCCCAAAAAACCAGCUUUCAAAGCACAACACUAUAUUUUUAUUUAUAGUGGAAAUCUAAGCACCUUACGUGACGGUGUGUGGAAAAAAUGACCUGGCAAGAAAGAAUCAUGAAAAGGGUGAUAAAGUUUCCUCAAGUCCUCAAGAGAUGGUUCGUUAACUUGCUCAGAACUUGUUCAUGGCCUGUAUGAUUAAGUAGUUAGCAAAUGCUGCUUUUCAGGGAUAUUUCAGCCGAAAGAUUCUGGGAGAUAAUGCUUCGUUGCAAGGAACCACAACAUUACAUCCAGACGUACACACUAUAGAUUGCAAGAACAAAGACCAACGUAUUUGUUGUUAAUCUUUUAGAUGAAAUUUGACUAGGGAAUUAUAACAGAAAAUAAAGACAUUUUUAAUGAUAAUAAAGACUUGAAGAAAAGGGAUUCAAAAUUUAAAUGUUUUAUAAUACUUUAUACAAUUUUCGGCAACAACAUUUGAUAAUUUGAUAUAUUUUUAGUAUAAAUUCACUUAUAAAUAACAACUUGUAAGCUUCGGUUAAUUAACUGAUGGAUUUUUAUACAAUAAAAG